CGCAGUCGCAUGCGGAAAAUUGUUGUAUACAUGCGUUCGUAUGUUAUUGUCGGAUCUGUUUUAUAAUUUCACGCUUACUGUAAAUCGGAUAUUCUGUUCUUAUAUCGUUAUGCAUCUUUUUUACGAGCCUUUAUAUAUCGUUCGUUAAUGAUUAUUUAUUUUUGUUGCUGUCAGGAAUCGAGGAAAUUUCAGUAUCCCGAGGUAUUGCAUGUACAUCUUCUUUUCAAAACCUUCGUAUUGCGAAAAAUCUGUUUGAAGAGAUCAGCAGAACCGUCUACGGGUCUGUACGAUUGAUGUGAUUCGAAUGAAAAGUUGAAGUAAACAGGAAAACAUGAAUCAUUGUGCACGAAGGCAAAGAAUAUUGAAAAUGUGCAUUCCAUUUGAAUUAAUCGUUGCGCGGGAAGCUUUGAACCGUCGCGUCGGAUGAGAUGUUAUCGACGAUCGAUAAUGUUAGAUUUCUGUUGCAGUUACUCGAAGUAGAAAUUGUAUGUGAUUAUUUGCAAAAAUAGGUGACGAGAUAGUUUGAAAAGAUCGCAAAUAAGGAAGAUGUGCUAUUAAUGCUACCGUCUGCUGAUGUAAUUCAACGUGAAAGUAAUAUGUAACGCUUAUUCGUUAUUCGAACCGCCCUGAACGAUGAUUAUUGCGCGACGCCGAAGCGUUUGAAACAAUAAGCGUUUUUCGGCAGUCUUCGUGAUGAGUUUCGGAACACGUGAAAGUUCCGUGCUGUUGAAUAAAUCAGGCCAGUCCACCGGGAUAACCUUCGUGAUCCAAAUUGUUUUACCCAUCCGAUUUCUAUAAGAAGAUGAGUAAUAACGAUGGGUAUGAGCAACAUGAGGAUCCUCGUUCGUGGACAGGCCUAAAACGCUGUACAAGUCAAUCCGACGAGUUUUAAACUCCCACCGUACAUCGUUUCUUUCCUUAAGUUUGUUCCUUUUCUUUUUUUACACGUAACAGUUUGUCGAGAAAUGAUUAAACUUAAUCGUGUUGUGCGGUUUCUCGGUAUUCACGAUAUUCGUUUAACACUUACGCUUAAUUAUGUACAUAGAAACCGCGCGAAUUUUGUCGAUUCGACACGCCUGACGGAAUAACGAAAACGUUCCUUCCUUUCUUGAUUUAUCAACGGGGACUGUUACCAAGGAGCUGAAAUCAUCGGUGAAUUCGAGGUUUCGAAUUCAAAUAGAAACGAAGAAAAGAUUUGAAAUAUCCAAAUGGUCCGGUAAGUUGCGAGAAGGAAAGGCUGGCAGCGAAUCGACGGCAACGUUUCGUCUUUGAAUUCCAGCGCGCUCAUGGAUAUGGUUUACAUUGUAAAGAAUUGCAAGAGAAAGUAGCGCGUGUAUCUGGUAACCGAAAUAAAAAUCUAUGGACCCAGGAUCCAUAGAGUUGCGGCGAAGAAAGGAAACAAAAGAGAGAUGCAACCAGAUUAAUACAGCUACCAUCGUGCAAACAAGUUACGAUCGCGUCGAGGGUGCGUUAGUUUACUACAGUCCACGCGAUUCGCCUAGUCGAUGGCCCUUACCCUGCGGGUGUCGCCAAACACGGGGGCCACGUUUUCAUACACCGUGUCAAUAAAGGUUCGCCGAUAAAUUGCAACUGGACCAGUGGUUGGUUGGUGUUCGUUUGCCAAUCGAUUGUAACGCUUGCCUGCGAUAAACCUUUUUCGUACGUGUAUACGCGAACAUACGUGGGCCACCAGAGGAGAGUAUUUACUUUUCGCGCGCAUAACUUCAUUCCCCGCUGUUCAGAUGCCUUUAGAUCGUCGUCGUUGUUUUGCGUCGAGAUCAAGAUUAUUUCAAGUACACUGAGUUGCAUUGAACUUGUUGCAGUGAAGUUGGCUAUAUAUUCACUAACGCAUUCACGCUGCGUCGGUGAGUGAACGCGUGGCCAACUUCACUAGCGCAUUCACGCCGCGUCAGUGAGUGAAUGCGUGGCCAACUUCACUGCGACAAGUUCAAUGCAACUCAUUCAUUGUACAACACAGUUACGAAGACCUUUGUGCGAGUUUCGUUUACAAUUUAUCUCGAUCCUUCGAUCAUUUAUGUUUACCAUAGAUUAUAGAUGGUAGAGAGAUUUUUAUGAUGAUCUUUAAUCUUAUACACGGUCUUGUCUCUCUUUGUCCAGUAUCGUAUCGAACUUGUAAGCUUGUGUCUGAAUGAACUUUAGAAUUAUUUCGAAUGAUUAUCUUUCAUUGGCAGCCCUUGUUAAUUACAUCGAAACGUUGAUUAACGAACAGGAGAAAAGAUUUAAUUGAACGCAACGUAUCAAGAAGAUCUCGCGUGGUUCACCGGAAGUGAAGAGGAGAGAGCGAUGUUGAGAAGAGCGAACUUAAAAUCGUGCCUUCGCCGUCACGUCGAUCGGCAUCUCGACGGCCGAUCGAACGACUACUAAGAACAGCUUCCUGCUCGUUUCUCCGUUCGACGUUUCGGAUUUUAUUUAAUUCUAACGGUAUACUUCAUGAAGAAUCAGUUGCCGCUAAGUUAUACUACCAGCGCGAGCGAAAGGAUAUUUUUCUAGGAUUUUUUCUCUUUACUUAUUGUCCUCGUUAAAACAAUUCGAUUCCCAGUUGCGCUUAUUGGGAGGUGACGGAUGCGUCGGAUGAGCCAAACGAGUAUCUGGAAAUCGUUCGAUUCUCGAACGAGGGCGAAGAAACGAUAGGGUGAUCCGAGUCGUCGAGCGGAGAGUCGGCAGAAUCGAUUAGAAUCUAAUCUAUACGUCGAGCGAAGCAUCCUUACAGAGGAACAGUUCUGCGCGUUACGUAAAGGCGGAUGUGGUCGCGGAGGUGUGCCGUUCAGGAGGACACCAGGCAGAUCGGGCAGCCGCGACGACGAACGAAGGUGACCAAAGGUGAUCGUCACACGGUGGUCACUCGGUCGACCUCGACGUAACGCACAGAACUGUCGCUGUGUCAGCAAAUCACUUCCUUCCCGUCGAUGAUGGCCGUCGCUGAGCUGAUGCUCUUCAGCCUGUGCUGCGAUAUCGAGCGACUCGCCCGUUGCCUGCAGAUGCGCCAGAUCACGAAGCAGAUCACGCCUAGGAUCGUGACGAUAGCGAGUAGACCGAGAGCCAGAUGCAGAGGUGGCAGUUGCAGCAGCAUCGAGCAAUGGGUCAAGGCCUCGUCGUAACCUGAUGGACAGUGGGAGAUUCCGUCGCACCAGAGGGACGCGUUUAUGCAAGCGUCCAACUCUGGACACCGUUGGUCGCAAUCUCGAGGCAUUUGCAGGCCUGCCGUCGAUGUCACCGACGGCCUGUCGAAUAAAAUCAUUCGUUACAUUAACCCCUUCGCCUAUGAUUUGUUCGAUAGUUGCGUCAGUCAGAGCUAGCUAUUCGAUACUUUAAAAUAAAGGCUUUAUUCUAAGAAUUGAAAGAUAAUUCACAGCCUCAAUUUAUGAAAGUUGCUAUCCUGGAAAAUUAAGGAUAGCCUUUCUGCGAAAGAUAAGAGUAAGUCUUCUUCUUAAUUCAAGAUCACUGAACUGUAAGAGCAGAGAUAAAACGGAUGCUGUUUUAUUGGUAAAGCACAGAAUCAUGAACAGAUGAUAAACAAGAACAGGGUAUAGGAAGAUAAGAUUUGAAUGUGCUACCUUCUGGUGAGCUCGAGCCAGGUGACUGUAUACGUGUCUGGUUCCUUCACGAGAAACUCCACAACGACGGUCCUGAUGGGGUCCUGACUCGGUGCAAGGAUCAUCGCGUUACUGCUGACGGCCCAGCCGUCGCUGAACACCUCCACCACGUGGUGCCUCGAUUCUAUCGGCGGUUUCGGACACACGGACACGUGGAUUGCACCACCUGUGUGCACCACGAUGCGGUUCUUCGUCGAGCACUUGCUGCUGUUCGACAUUAUCGUGCCGUGCAUCUUCACGUAGAGAUUCGCCGUCUGGCCCACUGUGCGACGCGUUAAUCGCAUUGAAACGGAGCUCUUACCUCAUCCUCAUCGGUGAUCGGCGAUUUAUACUUGAUCUCCCCGGAUGGUCCUCUCAUCCUCCGUUUCUGCAAACAAGGAUUGGUC